CCUAAGAGAUACGUGUUAUGUGCAGUGCUCACACAGAUUGUCUGAUGAAGAACGAGCAAAAGCGCGUCUGCGAAGCUGACUGAAGUCCCCUUCGUCUAGAGGCCUAGGACACCGCCCUUUCACGGCGGUAACAGGGGUUCGAAUCCCCUAGGGGACGCCAAUUGCGCGGUAUGAGUGAAAGGCGUACCACACUAUAGUCUGAUGCAAAUCAGAGGAUAGUUAAGAUAAUUUUAGCAAGUUAUUUUAACUAUUAUGCUCUUUAACAAUCUGGAACAAGCUGAAAAAUUGAAAACAAAUCAAUAUAUCACCGAGGUAUAUUGAUGAGUCUCUCAAAAUCUCAGACCUUGAAGUGUGAAACUCCAAGACAUUCGUCUUCGAGAAGAAACAUCUUCGGGUUGCGA
rnacentral:misc_RNA from 1 species